rnacentral:lncRNA from 1 species
CAACAAAUAGGAGCAGGAAGGAGAUUAGAACCAAAAAGAUUGGAUGACAAGAGAGGGUAGGAGACCUCACCUGAGUGAUGUUGAGUAUUCAAAAGGAGAUCUUGAGUAUUAUAGCAAUGAAAGUCAGGAAGCAUAUCCGUGAGGAAAUAGGGGAUGCAAAGUUCUCUAUUCUAGUGGAUGAAACAUGUGAUGUUGCAAAAAGAGAGCAAAUGGCACUUGUUUUCAGAUUUUGUUGAUCAAGAUGGUGUUGUACAAGAACGGUUCUUUGACAUGAUACAUGUAAAGAACACCAAAGCAUUGACGCUCAAGAAUGAAUUGUCUCAUGUACUAUCCAACUACGGCUUUGAUGUCCAGAACCUUCGAGGCCAAAGGUAUGACGGUGCUAGCAACAUGAAGGGAGAGUUCAAUGGACUGCAAGCACUUUUCUUGAAAGAAUGUCCCUAUGCAUAUUAUGUUCAUUGUUAUGCCCAUCGAUUACAACUAGCUCUUGUUGCUGCAGCAAAGUAUGUGGUUCCUGUCACUCAAUUUUUUCAGCAUCUUAUGUUUAUUAGAGUGGAGAUAUUUCGGGCAACAAUUGACACUCAGCUAACUGAACUGAAUCUGAAAUUCAAUGAAAAAGUCUUGGGUCUUUUAUCCAUUAGUGUUACAUUGGUACCAAAGACUGGAUUUGCAUCUUUCCAAGCUAGUGAGAUAUGCAAGAUGCAAAUCCAGUCUUUGCCAGCAGAUUUUAACAACCAAGAACGGAUUGGUCUAGAGAGUCAGUUGAAACAUUUUGCUGUUGAUGCUUCGACGAGUGAAGAUUUGAAAAAUAUUUCAACACUAGCUGAGCUUUGCCGUUGCCUUGUCAUCACAGGACGUGUUAAGACCUUUAACUUGAUUGAAAGAUUGCUUCGGUUGCUUCUUACUCUCCCAGUAUCAACAGCUAGUGCUGAGCAUGCUUUUUCUUUCUUAAAGAUCAUCGAGACAAGGCUGCGCAACAAGAUGGAAGAUGAAUUUCUUGCCAAUAGCUUGUUAGUGCAUAUAGAAGGAGAAAUUGCACGGGACUACAGUUAUGAAGACAUAAUUUCUGAAUUCCAUGGAAAGAAGAGUGGCCUUGUAAAAAGUAUUAUUCUAUUAGUUGUAUGGGUGGUAAGUUCAUUGUAUUUUGCUAUGUGCUUGUCUAAUACUAUGAUAGUUUCAAAUGUGUUCUAUGAACAGUGAACCAAUUGUAAUUAAUUCUAUCUAUGUAAUGCCAUCUUUAGUAUAUCCACCAAUUAUAUUAUGACUUCUAUGGUCAUCUGUACAUAUUGAUUCAGAGUAUUAGACAAAAUGAACCCCCCCCCCCCCCCCUAUGUUUUCCUGCGAGCUCCGCCACUGGUCAGCAGCGAUGUGCUCUUGAUCCCCAGCACCGCCAUGGCCGGAGGAGGAAGAUGCUAUGUGCUUGUCUAAUACUAUGAUAGUUUCAAAUGUGUUCUAUGAACAGUGAACCAAUUGUAAUUAAUUCUAUCUAUGUAAUGCCAUCUUUAGUAUAUCCACCAAUUAUAUUAUGACUUCUAUGGUCAUCUGUACAUAUUGAUUCAGAGUAUUAGACAAAAUGAACCCCCCCCCCCCCCCCCCCUAUGUUUUCCUGCGAGCUCCGCCACUGGUCAGCAGCGAUGUGCUCUUGAUCCCCAGCACCGCCAUGGCCGGAGGAGGAAGAUGGCUUCAGCAGAGAAGGAAUACCCUUCCUGCCAACAUGCUCGCCAUCCAUGGCUUCUGGCUUCUUGGAUUCUCUUCACUGGAGGAGGGAGUAGGUAGGCAGAGACGAAUGUACCCUGCAGCUUGGAGAUAUUUGUUAUAGCUGCAGCCCGUGGCUACUAAUCUUGUUCGGACAAAA